rnacentral:rRNA from 1 species
CAAUAGCGUAUAUUUAAGUUGCUGCAGUUAAAAAGCUCGUAGUUGGAUUUCGGGUGGGAAUGGCCGGUCCGCCGUUUCGGUGUGCACUUGCUACGCCCACCUUGCUGCCGGGGACGUGCUCUUGAGUUCACGCUCGGGACACGGAGUCGGCGAGGUUACUUUGAGUAAAUUAGAGUGUUCAAAGCAGGCCUACGCUCUGAAUACAUUAGCAUGGAAUAACACGAUAGGACUCUGGCCUAUCUUGUUGGUCUGUAGGACCGGAGUAAUGAUUAAGAGGGACAGUCGGGGGCAUUCGUAUUUCAUUGUCAAAGGUGAAAUUCUUGGAUUUAUGAAAGACGAACUACUGCGAAAGCAUUUGCCAAGGAUGUUUUCAUUAA